GCCCUGAGAAGCAGAGCUGGUCUUGCCGCGUUGGAGUGGUCCCCGCAAAGUACUACGCAGCCGGAGGACGACGAGUGAGCCGCUCUAUAUUAAAUAUGGCGUCCGCGUCCCGUGAAAUGCAGCUUUUAGCCCUCCUGGCCCCAGAAGGACUCAGAGGAAGCUGAAUUCUGUGACUGAACAGGAACAGGCCGCCCCUCACCUGCCAAUGAUGCUCUUGAUCUGUGAAUCCUUCUCCACCUGCUGCUGCCUUAGCCUCUUCUCGCUCUGCUCCAGUCGGGCCUGGUAC